AACGCUAGCUACAGGCUUAACACAUGCAAGUCGAGGGGCAGCGGGAUUGAAGCUUGCUUCAAUUGCCGGCGACCGGCGCACGGGUGAGUAACGCGUAUCCAACCUUCCGUACACUCAGGGAUAGCCUUUCGAAAGAAAGAUUAAUACCUGAUGGUAUGAUGAGAUUGCAUGAUAGCAUCAUUAAAGAUUUAUCGGUGUACGAUGGGGAUGCGUUCCAUUAGGUAGUAGGCGGGGUAACGGCCCACCUAGCCAACGAUGGAUAGGGGUUCUGAGAGGAAGGUCCCCCACAUUGGAACUGAGACACGGUCCAAACUCCUACGGGAGGCAGCAGUGAGGAAUAUUGGUCAAUGGACGAGAGUCUGAACCAGCCAAGUAGCGUGAAGGAUGAAGGUCCUACGGAUUGUAAACUUCUUUUAUAAGGGAAUAAACCCUCCCACGUGUGGGAGCUUGUAUGUACCUUAUGAAUAAGCAUCGGCUAACUCCGUGCCAGCAGCCGCGGUAAUACGGAGGAUGCGAGCGUUAUCCGGAUUUAUUGGGUUUAAAGGGAGCGCAGACGGGUCGUUAAGUCAGCUGUGAAAGUUUGGGGCUCAACCUUAAAAUUGCAGUUGAUACUGGCGUCCUUGAGUGCGGUUGAGGUGUGCGGAAUUCGUGGUGUAGCGGUGAAACGCUUAGAUAUCACGAAGAACUCCGAUUG
rnacentral:rRNA from 1 species